GAGUCUUCCCCCCCCUCUUUCCCCUGGACUGCUCUAGGAGAAGAAGCACAAAAAGCUCCAAAAAGCCAGUGUCCUUCUUCCCCUGGAAUGAAUGACCAGAACAGACAAGAGCCUUAGAAAUGCAAGGCAGAUGGCAAAGGCUGUGCUUGUCCUUCCAGCAAACCUAACACAAUUCCUGUCGUAUUGUCUAGAGGACUGCAUAGCUGCAGCUAACAUGAGCAGCAGCGAGACAAAGUCAGGAAGGCGGUCUGGCUGGCUGUGUUUCUCAUUGUGGUGAGUAGAAGGCAGAGGAAGAGGAACUGAAGGCAAAUUGGGACAUUCCGAAUAUGGCGUAGAUGAACAUGACGAGGAAGAGGAGGAGACCAAUGUUAAACAAGGCAGGAAGAGACAUCAUCAAGGCAAAGAGCAGAGUCCGGAUCCCUUUAGCGCCCUUGAUCAGACGCAGGAUUCGACCUAUCCUGGCCAGCCGGAUCACUCGGAACAAGAAAUUUGAUGCUACCUAACAUGGCUCACUAAUAUAGCAGGGCAUAAACAACAUGAAAGAAACUAAGAUUUACUUUUACAG